rnacentral:rRNA from 1 species
AUAUAAAACAACUCCCGAGUGACAUAGUUUAGACUAACAAGUCGAAACUUUCUAUCAUUCAGUGAUCCAAUUCCUUUUGAUCAACGGAACAAGUUACCCUAGGGAUAACAGCGCAAUCCUAUUUGAGAGUCCAUAUCGACAAUAGGGUUUACGACCUCGAUGUUGGAUCAGGACAUCCCAAUGGUGCAGCCGCUAUUAAUGGUUCGUUUGUUCAACGAUUAAAGUCCUACGUGAUCUGAGUUCAGACCGGAGUA